rnacentral:rRNA from 1 species
AAAUUGAAGAGUUUGAUCAUGGCUCAGAUUGAACGCUGGCGGCAGGCCUAACACAUGCAAGUCGAGCGGCAGCGGGAAAGUAGCUUGCUACUUUUGCCGGCGAGCGGCGGACGGGUGAGUAAUGCCUGGGAAAUUGCCCAGUCGAGGGGGAUAACAGUUGGAAACGACUGCUAAUACCGCAUACGCCCUACGGGGG